UGAGGAAUAUUGCACAAUGGGGGAAACCCUGAUGCAGCAACGCCGCGUGGAGGAUGAAGGCUUCGGUUGUAAACUCCUUUUCUGGGGGAAGAGAAAGGACGGUACCUCAGGAAUAAGUCACGGCUAACUACGUGCCAGCAGCCGCGGUAACACGUAGGUGGCAAGCGUUAUCCGGAUUUACUGGGCGUAAAGCGCACGCAGGCGGUUUGCCAAGUCUAGCGUGAAAUCUCCCGGCUUAACCGGGAGCGGUCGUUAGAAACUGGUUGACUUGAGGUGAUGAGAGGGGUGCGGAAUUCCAGGUGUAGUGGUGGAAUGCGUAGAUAUCUGGAGGAACACCAGUGGCGAAAGCGGCACCCUGGCAUUAACCUGACGCUCAUGUGCGAAAGCGUGGGGAGCGAACGGGAUUAGAUACCCCCGUAGUCC
rnacentral:rRNA from 1 species